CUGCCCUCAAGCACGGCUUGUGUGUUGGGUGUGGUCCCCCCCAUCCCGGGGGGGACCUGCCCGAAAGGCAGCGGCGACGCCCGCCUAGGUCCUCGAGCGUAUGGGGCUUUGUCACUCGCUCGGGAGGGGCCUGCGGGCGUUGGUCAUCCCUCAACAUUUUUCCAC
rnacentral:misc_RNA from 1 species